UGGUGUAGCUCAAUUGGCAGAGCAUCUGAUUUGUAAUCAGAAGGUUGCGGGUUCAAGUCCCAUCACC
rnacentral:tRNA from 1 species